ensembl:lncRNA
UAGUGUUGCUGCUGCUGCUGGGCUCAUGUUACUUAAAAAUUAACACCACAGCCUUAAAAACCUUAUAUAAAAAUACGUCUGUGAAAUUUUUUGUUGAUUGUUUGAAAUAAAAAAGUGAGAUAAGAGCCCAGACAAAAUUUUUCGGGAGGUGCAGCCGUUAGGGGUGGGGUAGGUGUGGGGGGUAUUUUCAAUCCAUAGCCAUAACUAACUAACUAACUAUAUAUAUCAACCUGAGUAGCAAAAGACCGCUGGGGGGUUGAAAACGAUAUGCCAAGAGUUAGCUGUGCUCACUGGCUCUAUCGAGCCUUGACCUCCCGGUCAGCUAUCGCGCUGGUGGAUAACAGAGCUCUCUGAAAACGUGGAAGCACUUUUGCAAAUAUGUGAUAUUUUGAUAAAUUAAGUAGAUAUUUGAGCAUUACACAGCUAUAUUCUCGCCUGAAAAUAUCUUAAAAGGUUAUUUUGUGACCCAGAAAGGGUAAUCUGGGGAAAAGGAGGAUCGCAUUUGUCCGCCGCGGUUGUCGGAACCUGUGUAUGCGCAUACUUGUGUGUACCUGUAAACGCGGCGAUGGCGGAGGAGUGCGGCUAAAAAACUUUUAAAUAUUACUUUUUCUGGGUCACAAAAUAAACUCUUAAGAUAUUUUCAGACGAGAAUGUAGCUGUGUAAAGUUCAAUUAUCUGCUCGAUUUGUCAAGACAUCACAUAUUUGCAAAAAUGCUCCAACGUUUUUGGACACAUCUAUUUUUUUUAAUGCUUUGUGGCAGCUUUUGAACAGCUGUGGCAUCUAUUAAUGUCAAAUCUAGCCUUUAUUUAACAACAUAAGCAAACUGCUUUUAUAUUUAACCAACUUUUCUGUUUAAUUACAUUUUAAAUCAUAAUAAUAAUAACAAUAGUAUUUAUUUUGUUAAAAAAUGUGUUUAAAAACAGGUUUUGUUGUGAAAGCUAUAAUCCAGAUUAGUGGCUUAUUAAAUGGUUAAAGCCUAGGUUGGCUUUAUACUUGAGAAUAAAGUAAUAUAGCUUGUCCUUCUAAAGAAUUAAGUUAAAUUCCAUAGUUGAAUCAUAAGAAACAUUAUGUUACAUAUAAACCCUGCCAUAUGUUGGAUCUGGUCAUUUUGCUUGUUAGAAACUUUAUAUAUUGGAAGUUAGCGUUUAACAAGCAUGUAAUGAUUAUAUUUAAACUAGUUGGUCUUUUUUUAAACACAUAUCUCUUUAGGCCUAAACUGACAGUGCCAAUACCACACAUUCAGACACAGUAGUAGAUGGUGUUUUUAAUACUAUAUGUGUUAGUCUAAUUUGGUUGUAUGGGUCUACAUUGACCUUCUGUGUUGUAAAUUAUAAUGAUUGCACAGCCAUUAAGGAUCAAAUCAGCUUCUAAAAAAUUUUUCUGUUUUUUCUCCCUCUGCUUGCUUCUUGCUGUCUUUGAGGCUCGGGACCAGCACUCCUGCUGUUGGACAGAAAGACAUCAACUCAGUGUGACAGUCGGAGAGGAGGAAGAGCGGACGUGACAGCAGAGAGAGCGGGAGUGUCUGUGUCCCAGUGAAAAACGAAAACCACAGUUUCAAAUAAAAGUUCUGCUGUCAGCACAUUCGCGUCUAGCAUAUGCUUAAGAUCAGCCUUUUUUACUUAUUGUUUUGUUUGUGCUUUGGUUUGGGAAAGUUGUUUCUUUACUGAUCUUUUCCUGUCUUCUGUUAUUAGACUUGAGAUAUGACUGCACGAUACUGUUGCUGUGACUCCAGUUAAUUCUACAAGACAUGCUGUGACACCAGGAGAGAUGAGUCCUCCGUCACAGAUGGUGUGGUCAGUGAAGAUGAUCGCCUGCAGGUUCAAGCUCAUUGCAUCGCCAACCCACAUCCACUGCCACUGUACUUAAGGGAAGUUAAAGACUUUCUUCUGCACCUACAUUUGGAUCACCUCGAUCCAUGACAGUCAUUCAGGCAGUAAUGCCUGGACUGGAAACAAGCAUCCUUAAAAUAAUACAACAUUCCAGCUCCUGUGUUGGAAUGGAAAACAAAUGUGUUGUUUAAAUUAGAGACUGCACUUGUGACAGAACAACAAAUAUUUUUUAUUUUGAUUAUAUAAGUAAUGUAACUACAAAACAAACUUGUGGUAGGCCUAAACUUAUUUUCUUAAUAAUUAAAUCUGAGACUUAAUUAAGAUUAUAACAGUGAUGGCAAUAUAAUUAUAUGUUGUUCAAGAGAACAGUGUCCAGUAUGUUGGCUGUUGUACUUUUUUGCAUUUGAAAAUAACAGUUGGGCUCAUUUUAACAUCAUUACAAAAAGUGUUGUUAAUUAUUUUUAAUCAUAUUCAGGUUACCACAAAUUGUUUUUUCAUUUAGUUGAACUUAACAUGUUUGUCAGUAGGUAAACAAUUAGUAUUGUACAGUCAGAAAUAUCAAGUUAUUCUUAAUACUGCAGACUUGCAAUGAAUAAGUUGUCCUAACAGUCAUCUUAAGUAAGCUUUACUUUUUAAGGUUUUUUUUUGUUUUUUUAAGGCAACGUGUUUGCAUAUUUUUUUGAGUUCUGGAAACUAAAUAGGUUUUAACUCUGUACUCAAAGGGAAGAAGUUGCCUUAACUUAGUCAUCUUAAGCAAACUUUACUCAAUUUUUUUGAGGCAACAAGUUUGCAUUGUUUUUUUGAGUUCUGGGAACUAACGAGGUUGUACAGUGUGAAACUAGCACCACUCGCUAACUAUGGUCCGUUUCAUGUUAUUAAUAUGCAAAUUUUUAUGAGCAUGGAUCAACAGCCACUGAUCAAUGAGCAUGAGUACCUUUCACAGAGUGCUUGGAAAAGGCCACAAUUGCACCUAAAGGCCAGUGGCCACUCUUUCAGUGAUGAGGAUGUACACAUCCUGGACUUUCCUUUUUGAUAAAGCAUGCAGUUAGGGCUGGAUCAGGUGACUCUGAAUUACCAAUUACCAAUGACAAUGGGUCAAUGGCCAUGAAUGCCAUUCUCUGUGAAUGGUACUCAUGUACUCAUGUCUAUGACAGUUUGAAUAUUAAUGAUCAUGAAACUGACCUCCCAGCCCAUUGUUCCUUCAGUGGUGCUAGUUUCAGUCUGUUGUAAGAUUUUAUGUUUUAUGUGUUUUUAUUCGUUGUUUUAUUAUCUUUCAUUAACAAGCAUAUCAUGAAGUGUUCAUAUAUUUCACAAGAUUUGCUGAACUUUUCCACUGUUUUGCAAGCUGACAUUUAACUCUGCAACACAAAUAAGUUAAACAGGAAACAGAUGCAGCACCCAAACCACAAGAGUUCAAAAGUGCACCACGUUUCCUAGAGGAAGCAGCCAGACACACAUGUGACACACACACACCCACACACACAACCAUUGGUUUAGAGGAACUUGUAAAAGAGGAAAUGUGAUGUACUUGCAUACACGAUGUAACCUAUAAAUAAAGAACUGUUGCCUGCACUCAGUGUGGGUCUCGCCAGAGUCCUCACCCGUGCACGUUGCUGUUAUUAUAUUCUAA